GACCUACGGGACGCAGCAGUGGGGGAUAUUGCACAAUGGGGGGAACCCUGAUGCAGCGACGCCGCGUGGGCGAUGGAGUACUUCGGUAUGUAAAGCCCUAUCAGCAGGGAAGAAAAUGACGGUACCUGACUAAGAAGCCCCGGCUAAAUACGUGCCAGCAGCCGCGGUAAUACGUAUGGGGCAAGCGUUAUCCGGAUUUACUGGGUGUAAAGGGAGCGUAGACGGCAGCGCAAGUCUGGAGUGAAAUGCCGGGGCUCAACCCCGGAACUGCUUUGGAAACUGUGCAGCUAGAGUGCGGGAGAGGG
rnacentral:rRNA from 1 species